rnacentral:misc_RNA from 1 species
CACAAUUAAACAUAUGAAGGCUGCACCGCCAAACAGGCGGCAAGGCUGGAGUAUUUUAUUAUCCCUUGUCUCUUUUGCGCACUUGUUGUUUCCUGGGCGGGUUCGCCCGCCUCCAGGAACAACAUGAUAAAACCUUUUUUAUGCAGUUGCAAUCAGCGUCAGUACACAACAAAUGUAAAUCAAUUUA